UACUUAGGAAGGCGUUAUUCA
rnacentral:miRNA from 1 species